CAUUGCUGCCGAAGCCAUAAAUUACUUCUGGUGCAAACAGUUACCACCAGAAGACACAUAAUUAGUUGAAAGAGUUGAGUCCACCUGCAUGCAAUUAAAGUGUCACAUGAUCUCUGUAUAAAUACUUCUGUCUCUAGAAGGCCCCAGAGUUUGUUAGAGAACAUACCUAAACAGAUUACACCGUGAAAACAGAAGAACUUUCAAAAAAACAAAAAAAACAUCCAUCAGGGCUUUUUUUUUUUUUUUUAAAGAUCCAGUGGUACACCAUUAAAGCCACCAUUAUUAAAAUGUCAGGAAUAUGCCACGGUGAUGACUUUAAUGCUUAAAGGAGGCUAUCCAACAAACAUUUGUGACCAGGGAUCACCCCCAUCUCCUCGCUGUCUCCGUCUGGAGUGACUCUUCGUGCCUGCCACCAUUCAUCAUCUGACGCAUUAAUCACAUGCAAGAUGUCUCCAUAACGGAAGCUGAGUCCCUGACUGGGUCAUCAGUCAAAAAGGAUAAAUCUAGAGACCAGUGGAAAAUACACAAAGAUACCAGAGAUAUGCAGUCGAAUUUACGGUAUUAUGGGCAAAGUAUCUGCAAUAGUCUUUUGGAUUACUCAUGCAGUGGCGUGGUCUAUCAUAUGGCACUGCUGUCAGAAUUGAAACACUGCCAUUGCUGCAAUAUUACACAAACACACAAACACACACAAGCACACAGACACACAUAUGCACACAGUGAUAUCUUUGCAAAAAAGAGAGGUGAAUUGAUGGGGUCUGUUCCUAUGGUUACAUCUUUUGAGAUGGUAAACAGUGCAUAAAUAAUGAAACCUGAAUAUUUCCAUCAUGAAUAUUUCUGUUUUAUUUGUAAAAAUAAAAUAAAAACAUUUGGGGACUUUCAUAUGAAUGAGUUUGACUGUGUGUAUAUCGACUUUUGUUAUGCAUUGGUAUAGGCUUCCAUUAAACAUUAAUUCCUCACAGCAUUAUGAUUGAUUGAAUUGAAAUUAACAAAAAUCCUAAACAAGCAUUUUCCAAUACAUUUUAUUCAGCUUUAGGACUAGUUUCAGGUUGAGAUUUGGAAUGCUUAAGGUUAUAUUUUGGUUUAAGAUGGUUUAGAUUAGGCCCCUGGAUAAAGAAUGGAUUACAUGUAAGUAUAAAAUUAUGAUCCAAAAAAUAAAAUAUGGAUAGAUUUGAGGUUUACAACA